UGUUGCGUUUGUGGCCAUCUGGUGCACCACCACCCUGCGCAGCAGAGAUUUGAGUCCCAUCUUCAAUUCCCUUUCAAUGGACAGAAACUGCACCCGGGUUAGGCGGCUGGUCCUGGGCGGGACACCCAUCAUAAACUUAGAGAUCCUCGCCAGCUCAUCCAGGAACAGCCUGUCAGACAGCCUGCUCACAUUGUAGCCAAUAUAGAGCAGGAAGGUCUUUACCUGGCUGACCUUUGAGGUGGCUCAUGGUGGGCCUUGUAUGUUGGCAGUGUGAUCAGCCUCAUGCGGUUCCCCUUGCCAAUGCCCGGCCUCCACGGGCUGAAUGGUUUCUGAGGGGAUUGGGUGGCUCUGCCCUCUGCAGCAGCAGCAGUCAAGGAUGGGCCUGCCUCCUCCACCACAGCCGAGGACAGGCCUGCCUCCUCCACACAUUCCUGUCAAAGUUGGUGAAAAACAAAAAAAUCAGACACACAAAGACAGGGAAAAUUGAACAAAGACAAAGAGAGAGAGAGACUCACCUCCUCCUGGUACUCCCCUCUAGUGGAGGUGCUGCUCCUCUUGCUGGAGUGCAGCAGCUGUCGCACCCUGCUGCGGAGCACUCCAACGUCGAGGGGCAGCUGAUCCCUCUCCGCCCGCAUCUUAACCAGCUCACUGGCAUGGUGCUGAAUUGUCUCGUUGCAUUCUGCACUGCCACAGUCAGUGCGAGGGGACAUGGGUGCCAGGUCUGGUUCCUCUAAAGACAAUGAAGUGUCCAAGUCCAACCUGUUGACCAUGGCUGGGGUGCGGUUAGAGGGCCUCAGGUCACCCAGAAGCCUCAGAGUGAACCUGCCUUUAGCCUCAAAGAGCAUGGCCACCCUCUCUGGGAUUGUCAACUCAGUUUGGGCUUGCUUAACGUGCCUGUCCAGAUGGGUCAACGUGUAGUUGCAUCCAGGAACCAGGCAGGGAGCAGUACGGAUAUUUACUCUCUCUGCUGCGAGGUUGAGCAGUAUCCGCCUCUCUUAUACUUUGCUGACACAAUGAGUUUUUGAGGUGUUUGUGCAACGCGCUGAAGUAGCGGUGGCAGAUCGGACAACUAUGCAUCGUUGCCUGUAAUACACAACAACAUCAACAACAACAACAAUAAUAUUAAUGAUAAUUAAUAUUGAAAAUUAAAUGAUGCUGUGAUGUUCACGGACAGACUGUAACCUACACCACAUAUUGUCUGCUGCAACCAACUCUGUUUCACCGCACCUCUCCUUGAUCACUGGGGAUGAACGUAGACAGUUGACGCGUCGUUGCAGCCCUAAUGGUGAUGUUUGACUGCCAAUCUUUUGAUUACAAUCAUCUCAUUGCAAACUAUUCUUCUGAAAUUGUUUAAAGGCAUCUGAAAUAAUACCAAUUUUAUUAAUUUUUUUAAUUGAAAUAUAGAUAUGGAUUAAAAUUAGGAUUAGAAAAAUGGUUAGUGGGCUUUAGAACAGCAAAUGUUUAUACUUACGUAAUCAAAAUCCAUGAAUCAUGAAUUCAGAAUAUUAAUAACAGUAUACUGCUUGACAUUGUCACAAAACUCAAACUACACAAAGGUCAGUGUAUAUAGUCUGUGCUCUUACCUGACAGCAGUAGUAAGUAAAGGGUCAAGUGUCGAGAUUGAAAACUACACUUGAAGCAAACCAUUCAGCUUUCAUUCAGGUUUCAUAUCUAAACAAGCUGCAACAAUGUGACCUGCGAGAGAACCUGAUGAGCCGUGAAGCAGAGCUGAACAGCAAACUGUCACAGUGACAGAAAAUCCACUGGUCUGUCUCUCUGCCGACACGCACAUCAUCGCCUCAUGCUGACCAAAAUAAGUUGUCAGCUUGACAAGGUAUAUAGGUGGAGUUGUGUUUGUAAAGAAGAAGAGUAAGAAAACAACUCUUGGAAAUUACAAUAACAUUGAAUGUAAUCCCACUUGUUUUACUCACCCAUGGCUUCUGUGAUUGUCAUCAAGGUUAUCUCGGCUCCAAAUUAGAAACAUUUACUGAAUAUCGUGUUAAUGCUGGGGUCAUCGAGUUUGAAAAACCAGGGCAUUUACCAGGCAGUUAUGAAGAGUAUGAGCAUUAAAUUUAGAUUUAGAUGUUGCUUGCAUAUACACUAGUGCUUCCCAACAUCUGUAAACACCCUGGGAUGAGUAAACCUUGAUGGUGUUCCCCUCUAAAUGAACAUAAUUGUUGAAAGUACAGAUUUUUAUACGUGUAUGAUCUUUUCUGACAUUCCCAUUACUUCCCAUAACCCACCACGAUUUUUCGAACACGCACACAGGCACAGAACCACAUUUAAACAUAGACGAAAACAUACUUGUGAAGCUGUCAAUAUGUUGCUCAUAUUAUCAUUAUUUUUCUAUUUUUGUGAACAUUCUCAAAACCAUUGUAAUAUUCUUUGCCAUAAUGUCCAUGGUUCCAUGUCACCUGUUGUAGCGGGGGGGGGGGGGGGCGGGGGGACUUUAUUUUACAGCGCACAAUGACGCUGUAAUGAUGCAGCUGCAUCUUCCCGGCAAAUCUUUGGAAGCUUUUGUGCUGGUUAAGAUGUGUUGUGAAGCUCUCUGCCUGUUGAUCAAGUUAGAAUGUUCGAAAGUCUUUUUAUUUUGUCUUACACUAUGAAUGUAACCGCAUCAUUAACAACAUAUUGCUGAGUAUUUACGUUUUAUCUGUCGGUGAUGUUGACCUAAUUUGCAUAUUUUUGGACACAAGGGAGAGCCUGUGCGUGUUGACUGUGUUCCUCGCUACUCCCAUACGUGUGUUAUGGUGUUAAAUUGUUAUUUGUCAUUGUCCUAUGUAUUUUUAUGAAGGUGCACUUUAUUUAUCCUAUGAAGGAAUUACUUUUAAUUUUCAUUUUAAUGGAGUGUUAAAUUUUGUUUCAGUAGUAAAUUUACAAAAUGUUCCUGUUUUAUUUUAAAUUUAAGCUUUAAAUACAUUUGUUAUUACUGUAAGGGCACACCUGUUUUAGUCUGUACAUUUUAUUCAUAGCAAUGUUUUAUGUAUAUGUUUUUGAAAAACUUUGGAAGCUUUUGUGCUGGAGACUGAGGGAGAGCCUGUGUGUGUUGACCAUGUCCCUCGCUACUCUCAUAGGACUAAAUGUGCAGAUCCUGAAUCCUGGUCUGAGUGGUGUUUUUCCGGGUUUGAGCGACCAUACUACAGCUGUGACACUUGCCUCUGAUCAAGCCAAGUGGACAAACAGUGAUGCACUCCCUUUGCAAGCGAUACCCCUCACACUCAGGAUAAACCACAGAACAACUCCAGAUUUUUCAUGUUGGGAAUACUAACCACUCUUCUCUGCUCUCCAAAACCACUCUCCUCCCUUAGAACUGUGACGCUGGCAAUAAAAAAAUUAAGUUUGACCAUGGUAGCUCAAAGCAGGGCUUUCAGAGAGUGCUGGUGAAAGUAAUAGAGACACGCGUGCCGAAUGUACACACAUGCCUACACAUUGGACACCUGAGCCUUGCAGGGUCUGUGAAAGACUGAUCUCUUAUUUAGUACAGGGAGUCAUAGAUUUCUCACUACCCUGACGUCACUGCCAACACAUGAUCGCAGUCGUUGUCCCAGUCGUGACAGUUAGCACGUCUGUAUUUUGAUGUUACUGAGCACAGUCAGUCAGAGUUUAUUGUCAGAUCGUUCUUCUGUUCAUCUGGACUUAUGUUACUUUGACAUUAUAAAAUCAUCAGAAUAAGA